UUAAGCGACUAAGCGUACACGGUGGAUGCCCUGGCAGUCAGAGGCGAUGAAGGACGUGCUAAUCUGCGAAAAGCGUCGGUAAGGUGAUAUGAACCGUUAUAACCGGCGAUGUCCGAAUGGGGAAACCCAGUGCAAUUCGUUGCACUAUCGUUAACUGAAUACAUAGGUUAACGAGGCGAACCGGGGGAACUGAAACAUCUAAGUACCCCGAGGAAAAGAAAUCAACCGAGAUUCCCCCAGUAGCGGCGAGCGAACGGGGAGCAGCCCAGAGUCUGAAUCAGCUUGUGUGUUAGUGGAACGGUCUGGAAAGUCCGACGGUACAGGGUGAUAGUCCCGUACACCAAAAUGCACAGGCUGUGAACUCGAAGAGUAGGGCGGGACACGUGGUAUCCUGUCUGAAUAUGGGGGGACCAUCCUCCAAGGCUAAAUACUCCUGACUGACCGAUAGUGAACCAGUACCGUGAGGGAAAGGCGAAAAGAACCCCGGCGAGGGGAGUGAAAAAGAACCUGAAACCGUGUACGUACAAGCAGUGGGAGCACCUUCGGGUGUGACUGCGUACCUUUUGUAUAAUGGGUCAGCGACUUAUAUUCUGUAGCAAGGUUAACCGUAUAGGGGAGCCGCAGGGAAACCGAGUCUUAACUGGGCGUUAAGUUGCAGGGUAUAGACCCGAAACCCGGUGAUCUAGCCAUGGGCAGGUUGAAGGUUGGGUAACACUAACUGGAGGACCGAACCGACUAAUGUUGAAAAAUUAGCGGAUGACUUGUGGCUGGGGGUGAAAGGCCAAUCAAACCGGGAGAUAGCUGGUUCUCCCCGAAAGCUAUUUAGGUAGCGCCUCGUGAAUUCAUCUUCGGGGGUAGAGCACUGUUUCGGCUAGGGGGUCAUCCCGACUUACCAACCCGAUGCAAACUACGAAUACCGAAGAAUGUUAUCACGGGAGACACACGGCGGGUGCUAACGUCCGUCGUGAAGAGGGAAACAACCCAGACCGCCAGCUAAGGUCCCAAAGUCAUGGUUAAGUGGGAAACGAUGUGGGAAGGCACAGACAGCCAGGAUGUUGGCUUAGAAGCAGCCAUCAUUUAAAGAAAGCGUAAUAGCUCACUGGUCGAGUCGGCCUGCGCGGAAGAUGUAACGGGGCUAAACCAUGCACCGAAGCUGCGGCAGCGACACUAUGUGUUGUUGGGUAGGGGAGCGUUCUGUAAGCCUGCGAAGGUGACCUGUGAGGGUUGCUGGAGGUAUCAGAAGUGCGAAUGCUGACAUAAGUAACGAUAAAGCGGGUGAAAAGCCCGCUCGCCGGAAGACCAAGGGUUCCUGUCCAACGUUAAUCGGGGCAGGGUGAGUCGACCCCUAAGGCGAGGCCGAAAGGCGUAGUCGAUGGGAAACAGGUUAAUAUUCCUGUACUUGGUGUUACUGCGAAGGGGGGACGGAGAAGGCUAUGUUAGCCGGGCGACGGUUGUCCCGGUUUAAGCAUGUAGGCUGGUUAUCCAGGCAAAUCCGGAUAAUCAAGGCUGAGGUGUGAUGACGAGGCACUACGGUGCUGAAGUAACAAAUGCCCUGCUUCCAGGAAAAGUCUCUAAGCAUCAGGUAACAUCAAAUCGUACCCCAAACCGACACAGGUGGUCAGGUAGAGAAUACCAAGGCGCUUGAGAGAACUCGGGUGAAGGAACUAGGCAAAAUGGUGCCGUAACUUCGGGAGAAGGCACGCUGGUGUGUAGGUGAAGCCCCUGCGGGUGGAGCUGAGACCAGUCGAAGAUACCAGCUGGCUGCAACUGUUUAUUAAAAACACAGCACUGUGCAAACACGAAAGUGGACGUAUACGGUGUGACGCCUGCCCGGUGCCGGAAGGUUAAUUGAUGGGGUUAUCCGUAAGGAGAAGCUCUUGAUCGAAGCCCCGGUAAACGGCGGCCGUAACUAUAACGGUCCUAAGGUAGCGAAAUUCCUUGUCGGGUAAGUUCCGACCUGCACGAAUGGCGUAAUGAUGGCCAGGCUGUCUCCACCCGAGACUCAGUGAAAUUGAACUCGCUGUGAAGAUGCAGUGUACCCGCGGCAAGACGGAAAGACCCCGUGAACCUUUACUAUAGCUUGACACUGAACAUUGAGCCUUGAUGUGUAGGAUAGGUGGGAGGCUUUGAAGCGUGGACGCCAGUCUGCGUGGAGCCAACCUUGAAAUACCACCCUUUAAUGUUUGAUGUUCUAACGUUGGCCCCUGACCGGGGUUGCGGACAGUGUCUGGUGGGUAGUUUGACUGGGGCGGUCUCCUCCCAAAGCGUAACGGAGGAGCACGAAGGUUAGCUAAUCCUGGUCGGACAUCAGGAGGUUAGUGCAAUGGCAUAAGCUAGCUUGACUGCGAGCGUGACGGCGCGAGCAGGUGCGAAAGCAGGUCAUAGUGAUCCGGUGGUUCUGAAUGGAAGGGCCAUCGCUCAACGGAUAAAAGGUACUCCGGGGAUAACAGGCUGAUACCGCCCAAGAGUUCAUAUCGACGGCGGUGUUUGGCACCUCGAUGUCGGCUCAUCACAUCCUGGGGCUGAAGUAGGUCCCAAGGGUAUGGCUGUUCGCCAUUUAAAGUGGUACGCGAGCUGGGUUUAGAACGUCGUGAGACAGUUCGGUCCCUAUCUGCCGUGGGCGCUGGAGAAUUGAGGGGGGCUGCUCCUAGUACGAGAGGACCGGAGUGGACGCAUCACUGGUGUUCGGGUUGUCAUGCCAAUGGCACUGCCCGGUAGCUAAAUGCGGAAGAGAUAAGUGCUGAAAGCAUCUAAGCACGAAACUUGCCCCGAGAUGAGUUCUCCCUGAGACUUUAAGUCUCCUGAAGGAACGUUGAAGACGAUGACGUUGAUAGGCCGGGUGUGUAAGCGCAGCGAUGCGUUGAGCUAACCGGUACUAAUGAACCGUGAGGCUUAACCUU
rnacentral:rRNA from 1 species